GUCAAAGGAGAAAUCGCCACUAUCUGGAAAGCAAAGACAAAGAUGCUGCACACCAGAACUCGUGGAGUGGAGAGAAUACAGCCAAGGCGCACACACACAUGCAGUCGGAGAUGCCUUCACUAGAGCUGAGAAGACCAAACACAACAUGGUUAGAAAUCAGAAGAAACAACAAAAGAAGUACAACAGAGGGAAUUCAUGAAGAAACACUCUUGGAAAUUUGGGACAGAAGUGGAUUCUUUCAGAAAGGACGGGUUUACUUCUGUAAGACUCCAGCCACUGUUCAGAGGCCCCGGGAGCCAGGUGGCCCCGAGCCCCCCACUCUCUUCUCUGCUUCCUGGGACCAGGCGGACUCGUGAGGCGGCGUAACGGGCUGUCGGGGAGGGUCUCUUGAAGCCAUCCGCAAACCCAGCCUUUG